ACUGAGGUGAGGUGGGGAUAGGGGAUGGUGGCUCCCUGUGGAGAGGAGACCCAGUGAGACUGUGGGGUUCUGCAAGGGGAAGCACCCCAAUCUGAAAGAGGCACUGGGAUCCAAGAGGGACUUGGGACCUGGCGGGAAGCGGGACAUCGGCCAGAAGAGGGUACUCUUGGGUCGAAGAGCUAAUUCCCAGGAUGACCGACAGGAGGCGCCGCAGGGUAGAACCUCAGUUUCCCCACCUUCUGAUGUGAAUGUGCAAACUGCCCACACUCCAAAAUGCAGAGGCCAGCCAGCCAGCCAGAGGUGAACCACGACCCCAGACACAGGAUGCCGCUGAGGGAGAGGAGACCAUGGAGACCUUAAGAGGGAAAGCCGCACUGCAGAGAAUCGGGUGCAUCUGCAAGGACCAUCAGCCACACAGCACCAGAGAUGUGUUGUUGCCUUCCAGUGGGGUGCCUAUCACAUAUCUGGAGAAGAGUGAUUACCCAGCUGCCUCCCCCCAACUCCCUCCCAAGGCUGGGCAUACUGUAGCUGGAUCCUCUUUUGCGGCACCCCACCCACCCAACAGCCACCCAGCAGUCAACUUCUCAAGACUCCAGCCAGGGGGCCUCAACCUAAAGACUUCUAUCACAGAUUCAUAGAGCAUAAAAUCAGAAGGGACCUUUAGAUCAUU